CUAGCGCUCCAUGUUUUUUUCAGAACAGACGCAACCUCUCUUUCCAGCUUUCGUUUGGAGUACAGACCCCGGCUGAAGCACGCUGUGUGUCUAGCUGGUGCAGUGUGGACCACAGCAGUGCCAUCUUCCCCAUGGAGCCAUGACUGGCCAGCGCUUCCCACCCUCCUGGCUUUGGAGAGACCACCCAGCGGUGGAGAGAGUGAGAAGACAGCUCUCUGCAGUCAGCUGUCCUUUCCCUCUGCAGGUAUUGGGUGUCGCCAAGCCGGCAUUGACUAAUUCAGGACAGUUUUUCGGGACCCUACCUGCUUUACAAAUAGGCGAGCGCUGCGUCGCCCUGGUGUCAGUGUGCUACAGUGAGGCUCCAUGGCACCACCUGUCACGAGACGCUUUGAAAAAGCUGCUACAACACACCAGACCAGCCUUCUGCCACUCACUCAUCCCACACGCCUUCACACUCCUCCCCGCUGUCCCGUGCGCGGACACGGCCAGGCCGCUAGAGCAACACCGCGAACUCUCACACCACCGCCGAUAGCACGAGGGAGACAGCGCCACUGCCCUAGCUGAACAAAUGUAUGCCUUAGCUGCUUCAGCUCCUAUGAGUGGGAUGAGAGAGCUGCUCCAGCGGAGGUCUGAGAAACGUCUGGGGUGUGUUCCCCUGCCCCUCUGCUGCCGAGGCCUGGCACAGUGAAGGCAACCCCCCCCCAGGACGAAGCCUGUUGCUUCGGUCCUCUUCAUCCAACGACAGACAGACACCAGAGGCCUCCAGUCCACUGCAUGCAGCGGUUUACACCAAUGAUGGAGAGUUCCUGUCAGGGAAAUUCCCACCAGAGACAAGACAAUAUCGCAUCUUAGCCUGAAAAAGAAUUAGAGAAGCAGUUCAAACAAGUCAAACAAAACAAGAAGGACUAAUGGCAGCAACCUGUAGUUCACAGUCUGUCAUUUAGGCAAGGAAACAACGGGAAGCCGCCGAGUGGCUUAACAACUCUGGUUUCAUUAAGAGGUGCAAGCAGAGCGCCAUGAGUCCUGAUGGCAGAGCACAGUCAGUCAGAUGCUGGCUUCUUCCUAAGCCUAGCAGGAACUAAGGGCUCCAGACACCACGCUCUUAUUAAAGCCCAGCUCCUCUAACAACUGUCAUUGGGAACUGCUUCCAUAAAUCCCCAUCGAGGCAAAUCUGCGUGUUUUCUUGUCAUUGAUAUCUGGGGUGUCACUUUUGAACUAAUAAAGUCCAGGAUUAGAGUUUCAUCUAUAUAACAGUUGUUAACUGUGUCUAACCAAAACAAGAAAAAGGCAUUAUCCUUGAGUACCAUUACUUACUGGUACAUCGGGCAUUUGUAAAUGGAGCAAAGAUACUGAUCAUGAACAACAAUAUAUAUAUAUAUUGGGAUAUAUACAUUUUUAGCGAUUUGCUGUGUAGGUAGUCAUCUGAUGACCACAUCAACCCGUUAUUUCAUUUUUAUCUGGGUUAUUUGUAAUAUACACGUAACUACAUUGUUUAAAGUGGUUUGCAAAGAGCAAAGAGCUGUGCAAUUUAAGAGGGAGUGUCUGUCCGGUUAUAGCAGAACGACUAUUGAUUUGAAAAAAAGAAAAAAAGGGUAUGUUACUAUAUGUGCAUUCCUACAAUUGCCAUCUUAGUGUCAUUUUAUCAGGCAAAUCUUAUACUGCUGCAUAAGAUAACACACUUCAGUACUGUCUAAUUUAUUUACCAAU